rnacentral:rRNA from 1 species
UACAGAGGUCUCAAGCGUUGUUCGGAUUCAUUGGGCGUAAAGGGUGUGUAGGUGGCGCCGUUAGUCGGGUGUGAAAUUUCGGAGCUUAACUCCGAAACUGCAUUCGAUACUGCGGUGCUUGAGGACUGGAGAGGAGACUGGAAUUCAUGGUGUAGCAGUGAAAUGCGUAGAGAUCAUGAGGAAGACCAGUGGCGAAGGCGGCUCACUGGCCCGAUACUGACGCUGAGGUGCGAAAGCGUGGGGAGCAAACAGG